CGACGACGACGUAUAAACAACAUGCAACCAACAGAGAGAAUAUUCAAAAUCCUUCUAGGACCAAAAUUAACACAAAUAGCAUGAAUGGCGUUGAAGAAUGAGCUUUUGGACUAAAAACAAAUUUUAAACCUGGCGUCAUUGAACUCUAUAGGACUUAUAAAUGUUCAUAAACUGCAAACAACAACAACAUAAUUCCGAAAAAUAAAGAAAUAAGGAAGUUGCACCACCCUCUGCCAAAUGGAACGAGAUGAAUUGAAAAUUUACUUUCAAAAACCAAAUGAACAUUUAUUUUUCCAUGUAAUAAAAAGAAAAAUGACGGAACGAACAAAAACAUCAUACCAUCUUAGGGGAAAUGAUGCCUCACAAUGAUUUCAUUUCAAUUUCAUAUGGGAGCUAUCAGAUACAUAACAAAAUAAUUAGAAGCACUAUGCGAAACUUUAAAUGAAAACUAGAGUAAUAUUUCCCAAGGAAAAGUCAUUCGCAACUUAACGCGCGAUGACACAAAAAUCACAUAUCUAUGAAUUUUCUUUUGCGGUUAAUUCAACUUCUGUAAUUGUACAGUAGCUCUAAUGUAUGGAAAUAUACUCAUGGCAAGCAAAUUCAAAAACAGCACAAGUUCCAUUUGAACUCUAUAAGGCAUCACAAGUCUGUCCAUUGAAAUGGAAAUUUUACUAUCGCUUUCAUUCGGCAGAUAGCUCAUUAGGAUGAAUGAAACGUUUGUAAUAGGCAAAAGUGUUGCUGCGUAUCUUCAAUUUUUUUUUAAAUUUAUUUUUUAUUUUUUUUAACGGCAAACACUAGUCUCUUCUG